GACGAACGCUGGCGGCGUGCUUAACACAUGCAAGUGGUGCGACGAACCAGGCUUCGGCCUGGGGCAAAGCCGCGAACGGGUGAGUAACACGUGGGUAACCUGCCCCGAUGACCGGGACAACCCGAGGAAACUCGGGCUAAUACCGGAUGAGCUGCCCUCACACCAGUGAGGGUCGGAAAGGAAGCUUCGGCCUCCGCAUCGGGAUGGGCCCGCGGCCCAUUAGCUUGUUGGUGAGGCAACGGCNCACCAAGGCUGCGAUGGGUAGCUGGUCUGAGAGGACGAUCAGCCACACUGGGACUGAGACACGGCCCAGACUCCUACGGGAGGCAGCAGUGGGGAAUCUUGCGCAAUGCGCGAAAGCGUGACGCAGCAACGCCGCGUGGGGAAG
rnacentral:rRNA from 1 species